GACGAACGCUGGCGGCGUGCCUAAUACAUGCAAGUCGAGCGCAGGAAAUCGACGGAACCCUUCGGGGGGAAGUCGAUGGAAUGAGCGGCGGACGGGUGAGUAACACGUAAAGAACCUGCCCUCAGGUCUGGGAUAACCACGAGAAAUCGGGGCCAAUACCGGAUGGGUCAUCGGACCGCAUGGUCCGAGGAUGAAAGGCGCUUCGGCGUCGCCUGGGGAUGGCUUUGCGGUGCAUUAGCUAGUUGGUGGGGUAAUGGCCCACCAAGGCGACGAUGCAUAGCCGACCUGAGAGGGUGAUCGGCCACGCGGGGACUGAGACACGGCCCAGACUCCUACGGGAGGCAGCAGUAGGGAAUCUUCCACAAUGGACGAAAGUCUGAUGGAGCAACGCCGCGUGAACGAUGAAGGCCUUCGGGUCGUAAAGUUCUGUUGUAAGGGAAGAACAAGUGCCGCAGGCAAUGGCGGCACCUUGACGGUACCUUGCGAGAAAGCCACGGCUAACUACGUGCCAGCCGCCGCGGUAAUAC
rnacentral:rRNA from 1 species